UUCCUGAAAGUCACCACUCUCACAAACACAAUCAGGGUGCCCACUCUACGAUGAAUCUAUUUAUAUCUCCAGCCUGAGCCAAAUGAAGCUACUAUUCUAAAAUCUAUAAGGGUAAGUGGAUCCGAUACUCACGUGGACACGCUCCUUUUCUGCUGGGAAGCUCUUACACACAGAAACGUUAACAGGAUUUACCAAAUCCAUCUGUUUGCAAAACCAGCAUCUCGGAGGGCAUUCGGUGGGGUUGAGAGCCGUGAGUCCCAGCAGGUGCAGGAGCCGUGGCGGGCUCAGGCAGCACACAGCCAGCCUUAGCGCUGCUCCCCGUUCCCUCUCGCCGACAAAGAGCACGUUUUCACUCCUGGGAUCAUGGUGAAAAGCUGAUUCGAAUUUGCCGAGUCAGAAAACUGAGCACUCAGAUUACGUGAGUCGGUGGAUUCGGUCGGGAAUUUUUGAAAGUCGGAGCACAGCAAUAAGAUGCAGAGCAUUUCUGCGGGCGUUUCCAGAGCCCCUUAUGGCUGAGGAUCUCUAAGCUCCUUAUAGAUAUUAAUGAAUUAAAGCUACAGCAUUCCAGAGUGCUGGGUAAUUUUAUUAUCCCCUCUGCUAAGAGGAAAACUGAAACACAGGGAAAGUGGCUGGCCUGCGGUUUGUCUGCUCAGCUGCUGGAGGAGGAGGCUUUGGGAUUUCAGCACAAACCACACGGCAGCAGCAUUAGAGGAAAAGCUGUUGCCUCUUUCGAGGAGUGGGGAUGGUAUCUAUGUUCAAGGCACAGUAUUGGAGUCUAUGAUUACUAUUCAUCAAUUUUUCACCUAGAAGACCACCCUUCUUUGGAUCAGUUCUGGAGUGGAUCUGUGCACCUGACAGGUUGCCAUCUCCAUGGCGAAUUGUGCUCCCUCCUUCAUGUCCAGCAGGCCCCAAAAGCCAACAAAUGGGGAGAUGAGAAACUGGUAGCGUAUCAACAGCAUGACAGAGUGUACGAGCCCACACAGGGGAGGGAGAAGGAGGACUUGCCAGGAGGGAGGACAGUGUUUUGGAGCUUGAGUUUAAUGGAGGAAGGCAGGAAGACUGAGCCGUGCGACCUGGUGAGGGCUCCUGCAUCAAACUGCCU
rnacentral:lncRNA from 1 species